rnacentral:rRNA from 1 species
UACGAAGGGGGCUAGCGUUGCUCGGAAUCACUGGGCGUAAAGCGCACGUAGGCGGCUUCUUAAGUCAGGGGUGAAAUCCUGGAGCUCAACUCCAGAACUGCCUUUGAUACUGAGAAGCUUGAGUCCGGGAGAGGUGAGUGGAACUGCGAGUGUAGAGGUGAAAUUCGUAGAUAUUCGGAAGAACACCAGUGGCGAAGGCGACUUACUGGACACAUAUUGACGCUGAGGUGCGAAAGCGUGGGGAGCAAACAGG